rnacentral:tRNA from 1 species
GCCGGAGUGUUGAAAUUGGUAGACAAGUCGGUCUCAAAAACCGAUGGUCGCAAGGCCAUGAGGGUUCGAGUCCCUCCUCCGGCACAA